AUAAGGGCUGGCUGGUGCUUCCUCUGCAGCGGAGCCAGCGCGGGAGCCUGGCCUGGGGCCUCAGUGGGAGCUCUCUUCCACCGAGCACCCUUCGGCCCAAGGCUUCUUUUUAUGGGAGCCCGUGGCCUUGCUGCGAGCUCUAAUCUGGUGGUAUACCAGCUCUAGUCUCCUGAGGGCUUCUGUGUUCCGGCAAGCAUUGCUCCUUCAAGCCUUUCGCCAGUUACAGCCAGGAGGAACAGGGAGUCUUUGAACAGGUUUACAAUCUUGAGUGUGUGUGUGUGUGUUUUCUUCUUAAUACAGCAUGCUGUUCUCAUCUUCUGCUUGAUUUAGCUAUCAAACAGGUGACAUGCUGGGAUGCUGUCUCAGAUCCAACAGUGAGAGAAUGAGACAAAACAAGAAUCCAGAUGCAUCAUGUCCAGAUCAAAAUCAUACUUGGAUGCAAACAAACAUCGCACAGCUGAGACCAUUGCUCAGGUCCCAAGAGGAUUUCCGUUGGUUCACAGGGAUGCAUCCAUCCGUAUAACACUGCAUCGGAAGGCUUUCCCCCAAGGUUUCCAAAGGAGGAUUUUCCAUAGAGACCUUCAACUGAACUUCAAUUUUUUUCCAACCCAUUUAAGCCAAGGAAUAGAUUGGCACCUUUUCCAAUGUGAGCAGUGAGUGGAAAGAACACCAGCCAGAGAUCCAGAGGACUCACCUUCUGUCCCAUUUCUUCUCCUGUUCGUCUGCUGUGUACCCUUGGGCAAGCAUAGAGGACUUAUUCUGUCCUUAUGUCUGCAUAUAGAAUAGAAUAAGAGUCACUUAUGAAGAAGCCAAACGAAAAAAUUGAAGGAAGCUUUGCCAAUUUUGAUAUACAAAUCUUACUUGGAUUUCACGUUGGAUUGUUUCUUCAAUCUUUUAUCACCAUCCUUCCAUGUGAGCAACAGAACAUUUACUGCAGUUUUUUUGAACAUAAAGCAAGAAGUCUCAAAGAAGAAAAAAUACAGGCUUCUAAACCUGCAGCUGUGUAGUGAUUGAAUCUUUUAUCCAUAUAUGUUGGGCCACA
rnacentral:lncRNA from 1 species